UUUUUGUUGCUGCUUUUAGAUGACGAAAAUUCUAUCAGGGUGCAUGUUUGGUUAGCAUAUAAGAUAAUUAUCAUGUAGGUUGUUUCUAUUGUUUUAUUGCUGUUUUUAGAUGAUGAAAAAUGCAAUCAUGGUGCAUAUUUGUUAGCAUGUAAGAUAAUUAUCAUGUGGGUUGUUUCUAUUAUUUGUUGCUGAUUUAAAAUGAUAAUAGGAUCAGGAGGAUUUACAUGAAUGGACAUGGGAAUAAAGAUAGAAAUGCAUGUAUGAAUAAAGGAAAAAGAAUGCAUGAAUGAGAUACAACCAAGGUGUUUUGACGGUGAAUGACGAAUGAUGAUCCAUACGAGUUUUAUACUUUUAUGAAUAAUGAAUGAUUGAUAAAAUUAGACUUAAUGGUUACUUGCUUAUGUGUUAUGUUAAUAGAUAAUAUUUGAUAAAUGCUGUGUCUAUGCUUUACAUAUGAUGUAAUCACUCACGGAUACAUGUAAUAUUGCAGGGAACGGAGACAAUCUUGCCUAACUGGAGUGGUAAGAGACAAAAGACUCAUCGAAGUGACGAAGCACGUGUGCACAGAUCGUGAAAUGUUGUAGUCAUUGUCUUCUACUUUGAUUAUAAUAAGUAUUAUUUUAGUUUUCUUGAAUACUGAAUGUUUGUGGGAUAUUCCAUUCUGUUAAAGAUAAUUAUUUCAUGAUAUUAAAACUCCCUUUGGAAGCAGGGUUUUACACUUGUAUCCGUGACUCCUUUGACCAAAUCAGCACACAUCCUAAGCAUCAA
rnacentral:lncRNA from 1 species